UACGUAGGGGGCAAGCGUUGUCCGGAAUCAUUGGGCGUAAAGCGCGUGUAGGCGGCUUGGUAAGUCCGCUCUGAAAGCCCGGGGCUCAACCCUGGGAGGCGGGUGGAUACUGCUGAGCUCGAGUCCGGAAGAGGCGAGUGGAAUUCCUGGUGUAGCGGUGAAAUGCGCAGAUAUCAGGAGGAACACCAAUGGCGAAGGCAGCUCGCUGGGACGGUACUGACGCUGAGGCGCGAAAGCGUGGGGAGCAAACAGG
rnacentral:rRNA from 1 species